rnacentral:rRNA from 1 species
UGGGGAAUAUUGCACAAUGGGCGCAAGCCUGAUGCAGCAAUGCCGCGUGAGUGAAGACGGCCUUAGGGUUGUAAAACUCUUUCGCUAGGGAAGAUAAUGACGGUACCUAGUAAAGAAGUCCCGGCUAACUCCGUGCCAGCAGCCGCGGUAAUACGGAGGGGACUAGCGUUGUUCGGAAUUACUGGGCGUAAAGAGUUCGUAGGCGGACUAGCAAGUUAGAGGUGAAAUCCCAGGGCUCAACCUUGGAACUGCCUUUAAAACUGCUAGUCUAGAGACCGGAAGAGGUUAGGGGAAUACCUAGUGUAGAGGUGAAAUUCGUAGAUAUUAGGUGGAACACCAGUGGCGAAGGCGCCUAACUGGUCCGGUACUGACGCUGAGGAACGAAAGCGU